rnacentral:rRNA from 1 species
CAAAUCGUACCCCAAACCGACACAGGUGGUCAGGUAGAGAAUACCAAGGCGCUUGAGAGAACUCGGGUGAAGGAACUAGGCAAAAUGGUGCCGUAACUUCGGGAGAAGGCACGCUGACACGUAGGUGAAGUGAUUUACUCAUGGAGCUGAAGUCAGUCGAAGAUACCAGCUGGCUGCAACUGUUUAUUAAAAACACAGCACUGUGCAAACACGAAAGUGGACGUAUACGGUGUGACGCCUGCCCGGUGCCGGAAGGUUAAUUGAUGGGGUCAGCGCAAGCGAAGCUCCUGAUCGAAGCCCCGGUAAACGGCGGCCGUAACUAUAACGGUCCUAAGGUAGCGAAAUUCCUUGUCGGGUAAGUUCCGACCUGCACGAAUGGCGUAAUGAUGGCCAGGCUGUCUCCACCCGAGACUCAGUGAAAUUGAACUCGCUGUGAAGAUGCAGUGUACCCGCGGCAAGACGGAAAGACCCCGUGAACCUUUACUAUAGCUUGACACUGAACAUUGAGCCUUGAUGUGUAGGAUAGGUGGGAGGCUUUGAAGUGUGGACGCCAGUCUGCAUGGAGCCGACCUUGAAAUACCACCCUUUAAUGUUUGAUGUUCUAACGUGGACCCGUAAUCCGGGUUGCGGACAGUGUCUGGUGGGUAGUUUGACUGGGGCGGUCUCCUCCUAAAGAGUAACGGAGGAGCACGAAGGUUGGCUAAUCCUGGUCGGACAUCAGGAGGUUAGUGCAAUGGCAUAAGCCAGCUUGACUGCGAGCGUGACGGCGCGAGCAGGUGCGAAAGCAGGUCAUAGUGAUCCGGUGGCUCUGAAUGGAAGGGCCAUCGCUCAACGGAUAAAAGGUACUCCGGGGAUAACAGGCUGAUACCGCCCAAGAGUUCAUAUCGACGGCGGUGUUUGGCACCUCGAUGUCGGCUCAUCACAUCCUGGGGCUGAAGUAGGUCCCAAGGGUAUGGCUGUUCGCCAUUUAAAGUGGUACGCGAGCUGGGUUUAGAACGUCGUGAGACAGUUCGGUCCCUAUCUGCCGUGGGCGCUGGAGAACUGAGGGGGGCUGCUCCUAGUACGAGAGGACCGGAGUGGACGCAUCACUGGUGUUCGGGUUGUCAUGCCAAUGGCACUGCCCGGUAGCUAAAUGCGGAAGAGAUAAGUGCUGAAAGCAUCUAAGCACGAAACUUGCCCCGAGAUGAGUUCUCCCUGAGACUUAGAGUCUCCUGAAGGAACGUUGAAGACGACGACGUUGAUAGGCCGGGUGUGUAAGCGCAGCGAUGCGUUGAGCUAACCGGUACUAAUGAACCGUGAGGCUUAACCUUACAACGCCGAAG